GUAACGAUUACGUUGUUUCUGACGCUGACUGCAAUUACAAAGGGUUUAAGAGGGUCCUACUGGCAGGCAAGCCUGCCGAGGAAACAAUAGGUACGCAAAAAGCAAGGGUAGGUAGGGUUCACACAGCAAGCUCGAUCCUUUCGGAAAGCUUGCCCUGUGGCCUUAUAUAAUUAAUGAUCCUUCCGCAGGUUCACCUACGGAAA
rnacentral:misc_RNA from 1 species